AUUGAACGCUGGCGGCAGGCCUAACACAUGCAAGUCGAACGAGUGGCGGACGGGUGAGUAAUGUCUGGGAAACUGCCUGAUGGAGGUGGAUAACUCCUGGAAACGGUAGCUAAUACCGCAUACCAUCGGAUGUGCCCAGAUGGGAUUAGCUAGUCGGUGGGGUCACGGCUCACCUAGGCGACGAUCCCUAGCUGGUCUGCAAGGAUGACCAGCCACACGGGAAAUGAGACACGGUCCAGACUCCUACGGGAGGCAGGAGUGGGGAAUAUUGCACAAGGGGCGAAAGCCUGAUGCAGCCAUGCCGCGUGUAUGAAGAAGGCCUGCGGGGUGUAAAGUACUUUCAGCGGGGAGGCGUUACCCGCAGAAGAAGCACCGGCUAACUCCGUGCCAGCCGCCGCGGUAAUUC
rnacentral:rRNA from 1 species